rnacentral:rRNA from 1 species
AUUGAACGCUGGCGGCAGGCCUAACACAUGCAAGUCGAGCGAGCGGCGGACGGGUGAGUAAUGACUGGGAAACUGCCUGAUGGAGGGGGAUAACUACUGGAAACGGUAGCUAAUACCGCAUACCAUAAGAUGUGCCCAGGGGGGAUUAGCUAGUAGGUGGGGUAAUGGCUCACAUAGGCGCCGCUCCCUCUCUGGUAUGAGAGGAUGACCAGUCACACUGAACAUGAGAAACUGUCCAUACUCCUACGGGAGGCAGCAGUGGGGAAUAAUGCACCAUGGGCGCAAGCCGGAUGCAGCAGUGCCGCGUGUAUUAAGAAGGCCUUCGGGUUGUAAAGUACUUUCAGCGGGGAGGCGUUACCCGCAGAAUAAGCACCGGCUAACUCCGUGCCAGCAGCCGCGGUAAUAC